AAACGUCCCAGUUCGGAUUGUAGUCUGCAACCCGACUACAUGAAGCUGGAAUCGCCAGUAAUCGCGGAUCAGAAUGCCGCGGUGAAUACGUUCCCGGGUCUUGUACACACCGCCCGUCACACCAUGGGAGUCGGAAAUGCCCGAAGCCGGUGACCUAACCUUUCAGGAAGGAGCCGUCGAAGGCAGGUCUGAUAACUGGGGUGAAGUCGUAACAAGGUACC
rnacentral:rRNA from 1 species